rnacentral:rRNA from 1 species
CCCUUAGAUGUUCUGGGCCGCACGCGUGCUACACUGAGUGGAUCAGCGGGUCAGGUUGCGCGAAAGUGUUUCCUUAUCUUUAAAUCCGCUCGUGAUGGGGAUUGACGGUUGCAAUUUUCCGUCAUGAACGAGGAAUACCUUGUAAGCGCGGGUCAUCAUCCCGCGCUGAAUACGUCCCUGCCCUUUGUACACACCGCCCGUCGCUCCUACCGAUUGAGUGGUCCGGUGAGGCUUUGGGAUCUGAGCGGAAAGAGCGUUUCGCUGUUUCUGCCCGGAAAACUCAGUCGAACCUUAUCAUUUAGAGGAAGGAGAAGUCGUAACA